UACAGAGGUCCCGAGCGUUGUUCGGAUUCAUUGGGCGUAAAGGGUGCGUAGGCGGCGGGGCAAGUCUGAUGUGAAAUCCCGGGGCUCAACCCCGGAACUGCAUUGGAUACUGCCUUGCUAGAGUACUGGAGAGGGAACUGGAAUUACGGUGUAGCAGUGAAAUGCGUAGAGAUCGUAAGGAAGGCCAGUGGCGAAGGCGAGUUCCUGGACAGUUACUGACGCUGAGGCACGAAGGCCAGGGGGAGCAAACGGG
rnacentral:rRNA from 1 species